CCUACGGGAGGCAGCAGUGAGGAAUAUUGGUCAAUGGGCGCGAGCCUGAACCAGCCAAGUAGCGUGAAGGAUGACUGCCCUACGGGUUGUAAACUUCUUUUAUAAAGGAAUAAAGUGAGGCACGUGUGCCUUUUUGUAUGUACUUUAUGAAUAAGGAUCGGCUAACUCCGUGCCAGCAGCCGCGGUAAUACGGAGGAUCCGAGCGUUAUCCGGAUUUAUUGGGUUGAAAGGGAGCGUAGAUGGGUUGUUAAGUCAGUUGUGAAAGUUUGCGGCUCAACCGUAAAAUUGCAAUUGAUACUGGCAGCCUUGAGUACAGUAGAGGUAGGCGGAAUUCGUAGUGUAGCGGUGAAAUGCUUAGAUAUCACGAAGAACUCCGAUUGCGAAGGCAGCUUACCGGAGCUCAACUGACGCUGAGGCACGAAAGCGUGGGGAUCAAACAGGAUUAGAUACCCCAGUAGUC
rnacentral:rRNA from 1 species